rnacentral:tRNA from 1 species
AGCCUUGAGGUGUAUAAACAUGCAAGAUUGCAAAUCUUGAGUAGCAGGCUAGCGCCUGCCGGGGCUU